rnacentral:rRNA from 1 species
UCCUGAACGGAUUAGGCGAUAGCAUGCAAGUCGAGCGGUAGCACAGAGAGCUUGCUCUCGGGUGACGAGCGGCGGACGGGUGAGUAAUGUCUGGGAAACUGCCUGAUGGAGGGGGAUAACUACUGGAAACGGUAGCUAAUACCGCAUAAUGUCGCAAGACCAAAGUGGGGGACCUUCGGGCCUCAUGCCAUCAGAUGUGCCCAGAUGGGAUUAGCUAGUAGGUGGGGUAACGGCUCACCUAGGCGACGAUCCCUAGCUGGUCUGAGAGGAUGACCAGCCACACUGGAACUGAGACACGGUCCAGACUCCUACGGGAGGCAGCAGUGGGGAAUAUUGCACAAUGGGCGCAAGCCUGAUGCAGCCAUGCCGCGUGUGUGAAGAAGGCCUUCGGGUUGUAAAGCACUUUCAGCGGGGAGGAAGGCGAUAAGGUUAAUAACCUUGUCGAUUGACGUUACCCGCAGAAGAAGCACCGGCUAACUCCGUGCCAGCAGCCGCGGUAAUACGGAGGGUGCAAGCGUUAAUCGGAAUUACUGGGCGUAAAGCGCACGCAGGCGGUCUGUCAAGUCGGAUGUGAAAUCCCCGGGCUCAACCUGGGAACUGCAUUCGAAACUGGCAGGCUAGAGUCUUGUAGAGGGGGGUAGAAUUCCAGGUGUAGCGGUGAAAUGCGUAGAGAUCUGGAGGAAUACCGGUGGCGAAGGCGGCCCCCUGGACAAAGACUGACGCUCAGGUGCGAAAGCGUGGGGAGCAAACAGGAUUAGAUACCCUGGUAGUCCACGCCGUAAACGAUGUCGAUUUGGAGGUUGUGCCCUUGAGGCGUGGCUUCCGGAGCUAACGCGUUAAAUCGACCGCCUGGGGAGUACGGCCGCAAGGUUAAAACUCAAAUGAAUUGACGGGGGCCCGCACAAGCGGUGGAGCAUGUGGUUUAAUUCGAUGCAACGCGAAGAACCUUACCUGGUCUUGACAUCCACAGAACUUACCAGAGAUGGCUUGGUGCCUUCGGGAACUGUGAGACAGGUGCUGCAUGGCUGUCGUCAGCUCGUGUUGUGAAAUGUUGGGUUAAGUCCCGCAACGAGCGCAACCCUUAUCCUUUGUUGCCAGCGGUUAGGCCGGGAACUCAAAGGAGACUGCCAGUGAUAAACUGGAGGAAGGUGGGGAUGACGUCAAGUCAUCAUGGCCCUUACGACCAGGGCUACACACGUGCUACAAUGGCAUAUACAAAGAGAAGCGACCUCGCGAGAGCAAGCGGACCUCAUAAAGUAUGUCGUAGUCCGGAUUGGAGUCUGCAACUCGACUCCAUGAAGUCGGAAUCGCUAGUAAUCGUAGAUCAGAAUGCUACGGUGAAUACGUUCCCGGGCCUUGUACACACCGCCCGUCACACCAUGGGAGUGGGUUGCAAAAGAAGUAGGUAGCUUAACCUUCGGGAGGGCGCUACCACUUUGGAUGCAUG